rnacentral:rRNA from 1 species
GAUGAACGCUGGCGGCGUGCUUAACACAUGCAAGUCGAACGAAGCAUUUGCGACAGAUUUUUUCGGAAUGAAGUUGCUUAUGACUGAGUGGCGGACGGGUGAGUAACGCGUGGGUAACCUGCCUUGUACUGGGGGAUAGCAGCUGGAAACGGCUGGUAAUACCGCAUAAGCGCACAAUGUUGCAUGACAUGGUGUGAAAAACUCCGGUGGUAUAAGAUGGACCCGCGUCUGAUUAGCUAGUUGGUGAGAUAACAGCCCACCAAGGCGACGAUCAGUAGCCGACCUGAGAGGGUGACCGGCCACAUUGGGACUGAGACACGGCCCAGACUCCUACGGGAGGCAGCAGUGGGGUAUAUUGCACAAUGGAGGAAACUCUGAUGCAGCGACGCCGCGUGAGUGAAGAAGUAAUUCGUUAUGUAAAGCUCUAUCAGCAGGGAAGAUAGUGACGGUACCUGACUAAGAAGCUCCGGCUAAAUACGUG